rnacentral:rRNA from 1 species
AUUGAACGCUGGCGGCAUGCUUUACACAUGCAAGUCGAACGGUAACAGGUUAAGCUGACGAGUGGCGAACGGGUGAGUAAUGCAUCGGAACGUGCCCAGUAGUGGGGGAUAGCCCGGCGAAAGCCGGAUUAAUACCGCAUACGACCUGAGGGUGAAAGGGGGGGAUCGCAAGACCUCUCGCUAUUGGAGCGGCCGAUGUCAGAUUAGCUAGUUGGUGGGGUAAAGGCCUACCAAGGCAACGAUCUGUAGUUGGUCUGAGAGGACGACCAGCCACACUGGGACUGAGACACGGCCCAGACUCCUACGGGAGGCAGCAGUGGGGAAUUUUGGACAAUGGGCGCAGGCCUGAUCCAGCAAUGCCGCGUGCAGGAAGAAGGCCUUCGGGUUGUAAACUGCUUUUGUCAGGGAAGAAAUCUUCUGGGUUAAUACCUCGGGAGGAUGACGGUACCUGAAGAAUAAGCACCGGCUAACUGCGUGCCAGCAGCCGCCGUAA